rnacentral:rRNA from 1 species
ACGGGAGGCAGCAGUGGGGAAUAUUGCACAAUGGGGGAAACCCUGAUGCAGCGACGCCGCGUGAGUGAAGAAGUAUUUCGGUAUGUAAAGCUCUAUCAGCAGGGAAGAAAAUGACGGUACCUGACUAAGAAGCCCCGGCUAACUACGUGCCAGCAGCCGCGGUAAUACGUAGGGGGCGAGCGUUGUCCGGAAUUACUGGGCGUAAAGAGUACGUAGGCGGUCCUGUAAGCGCAUGGUGAAAGGCAUAGGCUCAACCAAUGUGAGCCGUGCGAACUGCAGGACUUGAGUGCAGGAGAGGAAAGCGGAAUUCCUGGUGUAGCGGUGAAAUGCGUAGAUAUCAGGAGGAACACCGGUGGCGAAGGCGGCUUUCUGGACUGUAACUGACGCUGAGGUACGAAAGCGUGGGGAGCAAACAGGAUUAGAUACCCUGGUA